rnacentral:rRNA from 1 species
UCGAGAAUCUUCCGCAAUGGGCGAAAGCCUGACGGAGCGACACCGCGUGAUGGAUGAAGUGCUUCGGUAUGUAAACAUCUUUUAUAGGGGAAAAAGUUUAUUGAUUGUACCCUAUGAAUAAGGACCUGCCAAACUCGUGCCAGCAGCAGCGGUAAAACGAGUGGUCCAAGCGUUAUCCGGAAUUAUUGGGCGUAAAGCGUGCGUAGGUGGAUUUGUUAGUCAGUAGUUUAACCCAUGAGCUCAACUUGUGGAUUGCUAUUGAAACGUCAAAUCUUGAGAAUGUGAGGGGUGAACGGAACUCUAUGUGUAGGGGUGAAAUCCGUUGAUAUAUAGGGGAACACCAAAAGCGAAGGCAGUUCACUGGCACAAUUCUGACACUGAGGCACGAAAGCGUGGGUAGCGAAUG